rnacentral:rRNA from 1 species
UACCUAGGAAUCUGCCCGAUAGUGGGGGAUAACGUUCGGAAACGAAUGCUAAUACCGCGUACGUCCUACGGGAGAAAGCAGGGGACCUUCGGGCCUUGCGCUAUCGGAUGAGCCUAGGUCGGAUUAGCUAGUUGGUGAGGUAAUAGCUCACCAAGGCCACGAUCCGUAGCUGGUCUGAGAGGAUGAUCAGUCACACUGGAACUGAGACACGGUCCAGACUCCUACGGGAGGCAGCAGUAGGGAAUAUUGCGCAAUGGGGGAAACCCUGACGCAGCCACGCCGCGUGAGUGAGGAAGGCCU